UACGGAGGGUGCGAGCGUUAUCCGGAUUCACUGGGUUUAAAGGGUGCGUAGGAGGGCAGGUAAGUCAGUGGUGAAAUCUCCAAGCUUAACUUGGAAACUGCCGUUGAUACUAUCUGUCUUGAAUACCGUGGAGGUGAGCGGAAUAUGUCAUGUAGCGGUGAAAUGCUUAGAUAUGACAUAGAACACCAAUUGCGAAGGCAGCUCGCUACACGAAUAUUGACUCUGAGGCACGAAAGCGUGGGGAUCAAACAGG
rnacentral:rRNA from 1 species